AACGAACGCUGGCGGCAUGCCUAACACAUGCAAGUCGAACGAAACCUUCUGGUCUAGUUGCGCACGGGUGCGUAACGCGUGGGAACCUGCCCUUAUGUUCGGAAUAACUCCCCGAAAUGGGUGCUAAUACCGGAUAAUCUCUACGGACCAAAGAUUUAUCGCCUUUGGAUGUGCCCGCGUUGGAUUAGCUAGUUGGUAGGGUAAAAGCCUACCAAGGCGACGAUCCAUAGCUGGUCUGAGAGGAUGAUCAGCCACACUGGGACUGAGACACGGCCCAGACUCCUACGGGAGGUAGCAGUGGGGAAUAUUGGACACUGGGCGAAAGCCUGAUCCAGCAAUGCCGCGUGAGUGAUGAAGGCCUUAGGGUUGUAAAGCUCUUUUACCCGGGAUGAUAAUGACAGUACCGGGAGAAUAAGCUCCGGCUAACUCCGUG
rnacentral:rRNA from 1 species